rnacentral:lncRNA from 1 species
GGCAAAGACGUGGGGAUACGCACGUGAGGAAGCAGCGGGAUCCUCCGGGCAGACGAGUCAAUGAAGCGGCUCCCAGUCCCGCGCGCGGCUGAGCGGCUGAGCGGCACGGCCGUUCCGGGAAACGGGCCCUUCACGUCCUCUGUGGAGGCCACCGAGAGCCCUCGCACCCCCAGAGGGUGUGCCGCGGGACACCCGCGCGGUACCAGGUGCACCCUUGGAGGCCAGGCUGUCGCUGGUGGAAACGUCCUCGCCGCGCACCGCGGGGCUGCAGUUGAAGGCGGGGGUUGGGUAGGGAGGGGAAACCCGGAGGCACCCGGAGGCCGGUCGGGAUCUGUGGUGGGAGCCUGUGCAGGCGAGGAGGCACCGGGAGGAGGAAGGGACUGUUCGAGGCGAGGCGGGAGAGGAGAGGGGCAGGGCUUGGCUGGGCUGGGUGCUGCCUCUCCUGAAACGCAGAAAGACGAAUGGGAACAGAGUCAGGAAUUUUCAGAAGAAAACAGGAAGAAGUCGUUCGAGCUUGGGUUUCCCCCCAGCGGACCUGAGGCGAGCAUUUGGGUACAACGGGAGUACGGGGCUCGUGCCUGAGCAGGUGUCCAGAGGGCCACAGGGGCUCAGUCUCGCUGAGGACACUCGAGACCGCGUGGAAUCCGCCGCAGCACUGUCCCCAAGAGGCGAGAAGGUGGGGUGCGCACCCAGCCCGCCCACCGCACCCACAGCCCCGGAAAGCUCCACUGCCCAUACCUCAAUGAAAGCUUCUUAACUCGGGUGAUUCACACCAGCUCCUCGGGGAUUCACAGAAGCAAGAGCCCAGAGAAUGUUGACAGAUGAAAGAGCCCCUGGCCGAAAGCCUGGAGCCAAAGCCUGAGAGGCCCUCUCUCUCUUUCACUCACUGACACAACAAUGUGUGUUUGUUUUGUUUUGUUUUUUCUUUUUUCUUUUUGGUACCGGGGAUCUAACUCGGGUCCUUGCACUUGCGCAGCAGGCGGCGAAACCACUGAGCUAAAUCCCCGGCCCAAUAUCCACCUGGGUUAUCAGGCUCCUGAGUCCAGUAUAAAUUUACUCCUAAUGAUUUCAAACCCAUCAGUAAAAUAUGAAGAUGCUGUGGAACCUGUGUGUACCACGAUGAGGGGCUUGGCAGCCUGUGGGAGCUGUAUGGGGUGCAGGGCAGUGCAUGAAGCUGGAGCCCAAGAGGCAGUGAUGCCGGGAAUGCAGGACCCUGGGUACAUGAGUUGGGCUUAGGGUUUCAGUCUGUACCUGUAAAAUGAGAAAAUGAAUUAAAUGUCUCAAAUAUCUACACA